rnacentral:tRNA from 1 species
GCCGCCUUAGCUCAGUCGGAAGAGCGUGAUACUCGUAAUAUCAAGGUCGACGGUUCGAUUCCGUCAGGCGGCUCCA